UACGUAGGGUCCGAGCGUUGUCCGGAGUUACUGGGCGUAAAGCGCGCGCAGGCGGCGGUGCUGGCCCGGCGUGAAAGCCCCCGGCUCAACCGGGGAGGGUCGUCGGGGACCGCACCGCUUGAGGGCGGUAGGGGCUGGUGGAAUGCCUGGUGUAGUGGUGAAAUGCGUAGAGAUCAGGCGGAACACCCGUGGCGAAGGCGGCCAGCUGGGCCGUCCCUGACGCUGAGGCGCGAAGGCGUGGGGAGUGAACGGG
rnacentral:rRNA from 1 species